rnacentral:tRNA from 1 species
GGAUUGUGGCUCAGUGGUAGAGCGCUCGCCUAGCAUGUGUGGGACGCCCUGGGUUUGAUCCUCAGCACCA